UUGACAGAGAGCUACGGGCGGCGGUGAAAAACUAGGCAGUAAGAAGCGGCGGUGGGAACGGUAGAUAUUCAAGGGACUUACCGCGCGCAUGGACGACACCGUGGCCUAGUGCUAGGCUUGCGUGGUGAGGAGGUGGCGUAGCUGCUGCGCUGGCGGACGACCGAAGACGCCGGCGACGACACGUCGUGCCCUGCUUCUGUCGCCCCCCCCCUUCUUUGUUUCUCUGACACCCGAAGUUCAGACCUCAACCACGGUCGAUUUCGAAUCCAAUGGCCCCAAAGUCA
rnacentral:lncRNA from 1 species